UGGUGGAGUGAUUUGUCUGCUUAAUUGCGUUAACGAACGAGACCUCGACUUGCUAAAUAGUUUGGAUCACUGAUUCAUUCGGUGAUUACUCACAGACUUCUUAGAAGGACUUUUGGCGCGUAGCCGAAGGAAGCACGAGGCAAUAACA
rnacentral:rRNA from 1 species